rnacentral:lncRNA from 1 species
GCUUUGGUAACUCUGGCAAGUGGGGAAAAGUUGGCAGUUCAGGUUUUGGUAACUCAGGCAAUUCAAGUUUUGGCAAAGUGGGAAUUUCAGGCUUUGGCAACUCAGGCAAUUCAGGUUUUGGCAGUGUGGGAAGUUCAGGCUUAGGGAAGGCUGGGACUUCUGGUAAUGGUGGAAGCUCAACCUUAGGCAGUGAAGGCAAUUCAGGCUUGGGAAGCUCAGAUACCUCAGGCAAUGCUGUUUUUAGAAGGUGUCGUGCAUCUACGGAUUGACAGAGUGAUAAGUGAGAGCAUAAUGAUGAGGGAAGGGGAGCGAUGAUCGGCCAAAAUGCGACAAGAUCAACCACCUGCAAAGUGAAUAGUAAUUAAAAUUUCUGGACAAUUUUGUUUUGCGUGUUGAUGUUCACUUAGUGUUGAGCUUUUAUAGAAGUGGGAAGUGGAGAAUGGAGAACCUUCAAUGGUAAUUUGGUGGGAAAACUUGUGUCCUGUUAGCUCAACUUCCCAUCUAUAAUCCUCCAACAACUGGCAUGACCCAUUAUAGGCUUCCAUACAAAAGUAAUCUUUCCGUCCUUCUACAUGGAUUCAAGAGAUUAGUUGGAGAGAACCACAGCUAAAAGAUUGACAUUAAGCUAAAAUAUGUUGUCAGAAAUCACAACACUUGUCAAGUUCAAGCAUUUUUACAAAUUUAAUAAUUCACCACCACUAAACUUUGACAAAUCUUCCUUUAUUGCAACGCUUAUUGUUAUUGUUGGAAUUUAAUGACUGACCGAUCCAAAUCUCCAUGCGAUGAAAGUGUUGAAUUCCAAUUUAAUAUGAUGGCCUCUUCUAAAAUACUUCUAGACAAUUUAAAUUAAAUUUCAAUUAACUUAUCAUAUUAUAAAGCUUAUUAUUAUCAAUGUCAAGACUACGUUAUGAAAAAUAUCUUUCAUAUUUUUUGUUAUUUGGAAUAAUGAGAAAAAUUAAUCAAUAAAAAUAUUUUCUUGAUUAAAGAAAAAAUUAAAUCAUUUUAAAAAAAUACUGCUUCUUGGCUCUUUCUUUCUCAUCAAUUCUAUUUUCCUGUUGUGCUCUUCCAACAAAUCCAUAGUCACCAACUUGCCCUUUGAAAUUUAAAUUAUUGGACGACAUCAUCAACGAGAAUUCUAGCAAAGUUCUCUAAUAUUUUCUUCAUCAAUGUUGAAUUUUGAGAGGGAAGGGGAAUAAUACAUAUGAAUGCGACUAAAUAGUCUUACAAUUUUAUUGAUUGUAUUGUUAUUUAUACAGUCAAAUAUAAUUAAAAAAUCUAAAUAAAAUUAUAAAUAAUUUAAAUAUUAACUUAAAUAUUAAUAAAUUAAAAUAAUGAUUCAAAUUUAAAUUAUAUGAUUUAGCAUAUUUUUCGGUUUCUAAAUCAAAUAUCCAACGAUCAAUUUAAAAUUUUAGUACUCAUAAGCCCUUGGUAUUAUUAGAAACUCUCUUACUAAAAUUUUUUAAUAAUUAUAAAUAAAAAAGUUUUAUUUUUCUUUCAUAAUAUUAGAAAUAAAACCAUAUCAUUUAUUUUAUUUAAUUUGUAAUCGAAUUAAAUCGGUUGUUCAUGAUUUUUUGAAAAAUUAGAUUUAAAAUAAAAUGGAUAAUUUUUUAAUUUUAGGCCAUCAAUAAUUUUUAAGUUCAGUAAUUCAUAAUACUAAAAUUUUUUAAAAAAAUUCACAACAACAAUUUAAUUUUUAAGUUCAGUAAUAAUUUCUCUUUGUGGCUCUGCAUGAAAGUGCUUGGAUCAUGAACUAUUAAAUAAGAUUGAUCAGUCAUACCCAAAAUCAAAUAAAUAAGCUGGAUCAACUCAGUAUAUAGAAAAUGAACUCACAAGAUACAUCAUUCAAACAACUGAAACAGAAAUAUUAUAGGACUACCACUCACUGCAAAUUAAUCAUGUAUAUGUAAAAGAAGAUAUAAAUGAUACUGAUCAAUGCGAAAGAUGAAGUCAUCACUGUGAGAUCAAAUAUAGAAACACUUAUGGUGUAGUUGUUUAAGGACUGGUGGUUGAUUGAGGAGGUUUUGUGUCCUUAGAAGGCAAUGUGGGCUUUGGCAACUCAGGCAAGUGGGGAAAAGCUGGCAAUUCAGGCUUUGGCAACUCAGGCAAUUCAGGUUUUGGCAGUAUGGGAAGUUCAGGUUUAGGAAAGGUGGAGACUUCAGGUAAUGGUGGAAGCUCAACUUUAGGCAAUGAUGGCAACUCAGGCUUGGGAAGCUCAGGUACCUCAGGCAAUUCUGUCUCCAGAAGGUGUCGUGCAUCUACAGAGAUUGAUAGAGUGAUGAGUGAGAGCAUAAUGAUGAGGGAAGAGCGAAGAUCGGCCAUAAUGCUAU